rnacentral:rRNA from 1 species
GACGAACGCUGGCGGCGUGCUUAAUACAUGCAAGUCGAACGGAAUGGCCCUGAUAUUGUGGGGUGCUCGAGUGGCAAACGGGUGAGUAACACGUGAGUAACCUGCCCAUGAAUUUGGGAUAACUUCAGGAACCUGGGGCACAUAACGGAUAGGCGCUCAUGCUGCUUGGUGGGGGUUGGAAAGUUUCGGCGGUUGGGGAUGGACUAGCGGCUUAUCAGCUUGUUGGUCGGGUGGUGGCUUACCAAGGCUUUGCCGGGUCGCUGGUCUGAGAGGGGGACCGGCCACAUUGGGACUGAGAUACGGCCCGGACUCCUACGGGAUGCAGCAGUGGGGAAGAUUGCACAAUGGGCGGAAGCCUGAUGCAGCAACGCCGCGUGCGGGAUGUCGGCCUUCGGGUUGUAGACCGCUUGCGCCUGUGACGAAGCGUGAGUGACGGUAAUGGGUAAAGAAGCACCGGCUAACUACGUG